rnacentral:rRNA from 1 species
CCUACGGGAGGCAGCAGUGAGGAAUAUUGGUCAAUGGGCGAGAGCCUGAACCAGCCAAGUAGCGUGAAGGAGGACUGCCCUACGGGUUGUAAACUUCUUUUAUAAAGGAAUAAAGUGAGGCCCGUGUGCCUUGUUGUAUGUACUGUAUGAAUAACGAUCGGCGAACUCCGUGCCGUCAGCGGAGGUAAUAAGGAGGAUACGAGCGUUAUCCGGAUUUAUUGGGUUUAAAGGGAGAUGAGAGGGGUUGUUAAGUCAGUUGUGAAAGUUUGCGGCUUAACCGUAAAAUUGAAAUUGAUACUGGCAGUCUUGAGUACAGGUGAGGUAGGCGGAAUUCGUGGUGUAGCGGUGAAAUGCUUAGAUAUCACGAAGAACUCCGAUUGCGAAGGCAGCUUACUAAACUGCCACUGACAUUGAUGCUCGAAAGCGUGGGUAUCAAACAGGAUUAGAUACCCGUGUAGUC